GGAGUGCCAAGAGAGAGGAGAGAAGAAAGCCUCCAGGUUCACCCCUUUGACUCUUUAACCCUGAGCUGCCAGUGUUCGCAUGUGCCAUGACAGGUCCUUACCAUACAUCAUCUCAGUCAAUCUUCACAAUUCUAAGAGGUGGAUAUUGCACCCAUUUCUUAGAAGAUGGAAUUGAGCCUCAGUGGACCUAAGUGACCUUCGCAAGUUUAUAGUUUGGCUUGCUGGUGCUGUUAAAGUACAUGUGUGACCAUGGGCAGCACCAUCUCCCUUGCCCACCAAGAUGGCACUCCUGUUGCAGAAUGAACUUUGAGUACCUAAGCUCUCAAAGUGCCCUGGCUCAUUUUCUCAGCAUCAAAUUUGAGUGGAUCCUAGCUGCAGAACAAGCUGAAAUCUCUGUAGUAAGCCAACUGGGAAUAGAGAGAGGCCAGGAAUUGUGGGACUAUCACUAUGAGAAAGGACACAGUUUUGAUUAUAUGCACCUGAGAAAAAUGACUAGCAAUUAAUAUUUCAAGGGCUAAUGAGAAUCAGAGAACUCAAACAACCACCAACCUCUCAUAAGCUUAUGGCUCCUAGAGAAUCUCAUAGCGUGAUUUUUCUGAGAAGAAUUUAAGACAGAGUUGUUAAAUAUCAUACAUAGCCAAGGUAGGAACAACCUAAUUUUCUCUCCCAUGACCAAGCUAACUUAUGCUUAUCUGGAAUAACAAGCCAGGACUUUAUAAACCUGUUCAAAGUCACUUGCAAUCAUAGGGUAGCAUGCUGAAAUCUUGGAAGACAACAUAGAGGAGGUGAAAUAUUUAAC